UACGUAGGGGGCAAGCGUUGUCCGGAAUCAUUGGGCGUAAAGCGCGUGUAGGCGGUUCGGUAAGUCGGCUGUGAAAGUCCAGGGCUCAACCCUGGGAUGCCGGUCGAUACUGCCGGACUAGAGUUCGGAAGAGGCGAGUGGAAUUCCCGGUGUAGCGGUGAAAUGCGCAGAUAUCGGGAGGAACACCAAUGGCGAAGGCAGCUCGCUGGGACGGUAUUGACGCUGAGACGCGAAAGCGUGGGGAGCGAACAGG
rnacentral:rRNA from 1 species